rnacentral:tRNA from 1 species
GCCCGGCUAGCCCAAUUGGCAGAGGCAUCCGAUCCAGGGUCGGAGGGUUGGGGGUUCGAAUCCCUCGCCGGGCA